UUUAGGGAGCCCAGCCCGCGGGCCCCAUAAAUGGCCUGGGCGGGAACAGCUCCCUGUAGAAUUGUGCUGCCGCUAGCAGCUGUUUCCUACAGUAGCACUUCCUUACGAUCGUGCCAAUAAGAAAUGCUACUUGUAGCACCGUCCUAUAAGGAUCACAUCCUUAUUAAUAAUGAGCUAGUCAAUUCUUGAUUUGAUACUUCGAUACAAAUUGAUGCAGUAAUGAUCCUGUUUUUGCCUUCCUGCAACAUCCAAAACUUGUAAUGAGGAAAUUAAGGAAGAGGCAGCAGGCAGCAAGAGACUACAGAGUUAGUAGAAGGCUGUAUACAUUCUGGCUGAUACAAGUGGCAUGUAGACACAGUAUUUUUAUUCUCUGGCAUCAUGGAUUAAAGGUGCUGGCAGCCCAACUGAUGAAAAAGGCAUGAUGAGGAGGCCUUGGUCUUUUCAAGUCUUCAGUAGGUCCGUGUAGUAUAGCUUCUGUCUCGUUUCUUUUCCCAGGAUGGUGGAUUUCAUCACCAAUUGCCCUUGCCCUAUUUAUAACUUUGAAUGAUCCUUGCCACUUGGCCAGCAUUUUGACUUCAAGGGCAGCAACAGCAAACCCUUUUGCUGGGUUUACAUUUUUACAUUCUGGCCCAUUUUUGUCAGCCUGUUCCUGGUUCUGAGAUUUCAAUAUGUUCUCCCACAACAAAGCCUGCCGCAGCUCCAAGUUUUCCCUCUGACAGAACAUACGUUGUACCACUUGGUUGUUCCUAGGCCUGGCUCCUCCCAUACCUUAUGGAAGAGAUCUAGGAUCCUGUGAAUCUGCCUCUCAUAUAGUAACUCCAGGGGGAUAAGAGGAGGUGUGGGAUCAACUAGUCUGAGUGAUGGGUAUCUGAGUCCUGGGCCCUCCAUCCAGUUCACCAAUUGAGUUCCAGAUUAACAGGGUGUAAUAAUGUACAGUCUAAUGCAUGCCUGGGCGAAAUAUGGUCCAUGGACUGGAUCUGGCCUGCCAAGCCAUCAAAUCCAGCCUGAGGAGGCAGCGGGGAGCCCCAGGCAGGCUCCCCAGCUAGCCUAGCAGCCCUGUGCACCAUGCAGGGCUCCGUUUCUGUUUUAAAACUGGAGGGAAGGAAGGAAGUUUGAAGAGCCACCCUGCCCCCAGUAUAACCAGCCAAUGUGAGCUGCUUGUUGGAGUAACAGGCAGCCAAGAAGAACCCCACUCCCUAUCCUUGGCUUAGUUAUUCAUAAAGCACAUAGCCAGGCAGGCAGUCUGGGAGACAUUUUAAGUCUGCAGGCAGUCAGGCUAGUUUGGCAACUGGCAAGUAAGUCUCUU